rnacentral:rRNA from 1 species
UACGUAGGGGCGAGCGUUGUCCGGAGUACUGGGCGUAAAGCGCACGCAGGCGGUCUGCUAAGUUUGGAGUGACAGUUGGUGGCUUAACUGCCAAAGUGCUUCGAAACUGACAGACUUGAGGGCUUCAGAGGGACACGGAAUUCCGGGUGGAGUGGUGAAUGCGUAGAGAUCCGGAGGAACACCAAAGGCGAAGGCAGUGUCCUGGGAGUACCUGACGCUCAGGUGCGAAGCCAGGGAGGCGAACGGG